UAAUUAUUUUUAAGAGAGAAAUAACUUAAAACACUAUAAAUGAUCAAACCAUAUUCUAUUAGUUACAUAAAAGAGGAAAUAUAUGGAUGAAAUUCUCAAGUUUGUUUUUUGUAUGAUUAUAUUUCUUUCAUUAUUUCUUAUCGCAACAAAAGUUGGUGGUGAACAUAAUGAAUGUGAAACUGAUGCUGAUUGUCCAAAACAUACGACCAUAUUUUUUGUUAUGAAGUGUAUCGAUCACAUAUGUCGAUGCAUGAAAACUUCUAUCUAAUUCUACAAGUACAAGAGCCAUGACAACACAAAAACAACCAUGAGUUAUUGUGCUAUAAAAAUAAAUGUGAAAUAUACCUUGUGAUAAAAUAUUAAUUGAAAUGUAAAUUAGUGUAGUGAUGCAACAUACUUUUGUUUUUAUUUUUUCCAAUUGUACGGACCUUGAAGUUAUGAUUUUGUACUCCAAAAUGAUGGUAAGAAAAUAAAUAUUAUUAUUUAGAUUGUCUUCUUCCCUAUUAAUUUAGAAGGUAUAAUAAUGGAAUGCAAUUCUAGAAUAUCAUACCGUCUUUCUAACCCUACUAGCUUUAAAAAUAACUUUUAUAAUUGAGUCGAAUACAAAUUUUAACAUAAGCCUAUGAUUAUAUUUUUAUGUGAUAAAAUUGCUACUCUAUCAUUUUCCAACACUUUAAUUUACAUUUCCUAACCUUUUAAUUAGUUUUAUAGCCUUAUACUCCUUUUAAUUGCUAGAGACUUGACUCGAAAGCUAACUAUGUUGUGGAACACGUCAGGUGUGCUAUGUCUACGUUAAUAGAUAAAGGAUUUCAAAUAUUAUACUCAACAUAUAUCAGACGCACACACAAGUUUUGAUCAAACUCAUGGAAUUGCCUUAAAUAUAAUGGUGCGACAGAACUCUUUUACGACUUAUUUGAUGAAGAAGCAGAAGAAACAACUCAAUAAUUUUAAUUCCUACAACAUUUGUUUCAAUGGGGAACCGAAGGGUGGUUGAGCAACUCCUUUUUUCUUUAGGGUCACUUUUCUUUUUUGUUUUGUCUUAUUUUAACUUGCUUUUGAGGAUUUCGGUUUGUCCCCCAUCUUGUACAUACUUUCCCCCAUUUUUAAUAUGUAUUAUGAGUGGAUGACAAAGGAUAUGAAUUUCUUGAAGAUACCAACCGAUUUGAGAUAUCUGAGUCUCUCCUUACUG